rnacentral:lncRNA from 1 species
GGGGAGAGGGAUCAAACUGACGUGCGAAGCAGGGUAGCCAGGCCGGGCUCUAGAGUAGCCCCUUCCUCCUCGCCUCGUCAGCCCUGAGGCUACCCUCGUGGGGAAAGUGGGGGCUCAACGGUCUCGUCUUUUACGAAGCAGAUGGACUCCUGGACUCUAGGGCCUCGAACUGUUUGGGAGACUGAUGGGCAGCAGCCUUAUGCAGCCGGAGGGCCGGCGGUCAGUCAGUGGGCUUGGCCCGCGCUGGCGUCUGGCCCAGCUGUCGAAGCUCGGCUGGUCCAAGCUUGCUGCUGGCCCGGAGCUAACUGGGUCCCCUGAUGGCUGGGAUGAAGAGUGCAAUGCAUGUUUCAAAGAGGGCAUGCUUCCUUCACCUGGGUCCCAGGAUGGUGGAACAAAGCUGAAGAUGACUGUGAUUGACAAACAUGAAGAGAAAUAAACCUUACUGUAAGUAAUUUCAACUGGGGGGGUUAUUACCUUAGAAUGACUUAGGUUGAUCAGUGUAUUGCCCAAACUGAAUGAAGACAAACCAUGAGACUAGUAUUAAUUACGAGUAUUUGAGAACUGUAAAAGAUAGGCAGUUGACCUCUAGAGCAGUUGAAACUGAAUACCACUGAAAGGACAAUCAGAAUAUUCUCAUAUUCAGAAUAGGCAUUCUCUUUCAGAGACGAUGAAAACCAGAGUUCAAGUAAGAGAUGUUUGAUUGGUAUUUCAACAUGCCAUACAUUUUGGGACACUCUUAACUGUAGGAAAUCAUUGGUGGUUAAAUUAUGAGCUCCAUAUAAAUUAUGCUAUGUUGGUUUUAUGUUACUAAAUCUAAUAUUGGGUUAACAUUUGAAAUUUGUCAUAUUUUCUAAGCUCUGAAAAAGAAAAAUGAACCUGGAUUUUUGUCUCUAUGCUCAUCAAAUGGUAACAUCAUAUUGCUAAUUUGGGAAAUAAUUACUAAACUCUACUAAAAUCAUUGUUCAUGGAGCUAAAUCCAAAAUUCAGACAUUUGGGGAAAAAAAGAGUCCACAGCAAUGUAUUUUGAUGUUCUUGGGUAAAGAGGAAUCAGUAUUCAUCCUCAGUAUAGAUUGGAUUCCUUCAAACUAUCUUUACUUUUCAAGCAUCUAACAUUCACAGUUAGCAUGUGAGUCCCUCUAUCUAAUAAAAAGUCACAAGAGGCAGCUCUACACAAGAAAGAUUGAUUUGUGAUAUGCUGCUUCUCAUAAUGACACCACCAUGUGGUAUGUUCUGAGGUGGAGCUUUAUUCAUAUGCACCCCAGAUAGUAAAACAAACAGUGUAAUGUAUAAAAAGAAAAUCUCUUUAGAAACAACCUAAAUGUUUAUCAAUAGGAGAAUGGAUCAAAAUAACGUGAUAUUUCCACAUAAUGGGGUAAAAUAUAUUAUGUAAAAUUAAUGAUCCUAAAAGUAUCACAUAUUAAAGUGAAUGUUCAAAACCAAGUUAUAGAUGUAUACAUAUAUACACACACACACACACACACAUAUAUAUAUAAUGAUACCAUGAUUAUAAAAUUGUAAAACAUGCAAAAUGAACAUUAUUUAUGAGUUUCAUAUAUGGUUUAAAACAUUUCAAAUGUGUAUAGGAAUGAUUAACAUCAAAUUUAGUGCAGUGGUUAUUAUCUUUGGUUAUAUGUAAUAGCGAAUGGGAUUGAAGAAAUGUACACAGAGCUUCAACUGUAUCUAUAAUGACUGAUUUUUUAAAAAAAUAACUUUAAAAUCUGAAGUGAAUAUGGUACCUGGUUACCUUGAUACACAGGUGUUUGCUAUAUUCUCUCUCUUUUUCUCUGUGUUUGAAAUAUUUCAUGGGGUCCUAUUGUACAGUACAGGGAACUGUGUCCAAUCUCUUGGGUUAGAAGAUGAUGGAAGAUAGUAUGAAAAAGAAAAAAAA